UACGUAGGGACCAAGCGUUGUUCGGAUUUACUGGGCGUAAAGGGCGCGUAGGCGGCAAUUCAAGUCAUCUGUGAAAUCUCCGGGCUUAACCCGGAACGGUCAGAUGAUACUGCUUUGCUAGAGUGCAGAAGGGGCAAUCGGAAUUCUUGGUGUAGCGGUGAAAUGCGUAGAUAUCAAGAGGAACACCUGAGGUGAAGACGGGUUGCUGGGCUGACACUGACGCUGAGUGCGCGAAAGCCAGGGGGGCAAACGGG
rnacentral:rRNA from 1 species